rnacentral:tRNA from 1 species
GGGCUCGCUGGCAAAAGGCGCAGGCGGGGCUGCCAUUCCAACUGUCACGGCACUUGCCCCCUUCCGAUGGUUUGAUUCCGCCGCGAGCCCAC